UAUGUGGAGGACUAGUGGUUAGGCCACGGUGCUCUCAUCACUGUCUCACCACGGCCCGGGUUCGAUUCCUGGCCAGGGAA